CAGCCUGCUCUCCCGGCGGAGGGGGAGGGCGCCUUUCGCAUGGAUCCGCUCGCUAGCUGAGGGCAGCGCCGCGCCGGGCCGGGUCCUGUGAUGCAGCAGUCGUGUGCGGGCAGGCCCCCCUUCUAGGCGCUGCCUGCGCUCUGCGCACGGGGUGGCGGAGGCGCGGGGCUUGGCCCCGCUCCAUGGAGACCAAUGGCAUCGCUUCCACCCACCCCCACCGGCCCCGAGCCCGCCGGCACGCACAGCUACACGCUACAGCCCACCAUGGCCCCACCGCCGCCGCCGCCGCUCCAGCCGUCGGCGAGUGGAAAGGUAGAAGGCCAGCCCAAUGGUGACACAAUCCCAGCUGAGCAAGCCAACCCUUCAGAUGACACUGUUGCUGGUGCUGGGAGUCGUCAGAAUGAUCAGAUAGUGCAGAAAAUAGAGGAAGUGCUCUCUGGAGCCCUUGAUACAGAGCUGCAGUGCAAAUCAGAUGUAGACAAAAAUACUGUGAAAAAUAGUUCUCAGCCUACAAAAAGAAGCUCUACUGCUGAAGAUGAAAUUCCUAGGAAAAAAUCAAAGAAGAACAAGAAGCACAAAAGCAAGAAGAAGAAGAAAAAGAAGAAGAAAAGGAAGAAAGAGAAAAAGCAUAAAAAGCAGCCAAAGGAGGCAAAGCUGAGUGCACGUCAUGGAGACCGUGGGGACGCACAGCCUACUUCUCAGUUAAUACCAGAGAAAUCAAGCUCCAAACUGAGCGUACAGCAUGGAGGAUUUGAAGGUGCAAAUCUGGCUGUCCAUACGCAGCCAGAACUGUGCUUGCAAACAAGUGAGGAGCUUGACAGACAAGCUGUAGGGCUUGUUUCUCAUUCAGGAACUGAUUCUCAGCAAUCUACAGAAAAUCUUGGGAGUGAGAAGGGGACUUUGUUUGCAACAAAUCCUCCAUUUACUUUAGAAGGCAGUCAGUCUGAUACCCAAGGAGAUGCUAGUAUAGCUCAAACUAGAAUUUGCACUAGAGAAGAACAAAUUAAACAGUCUCAUGACAAUAUUUAUCCUAUAGCUAUUAAUGUGAGUGAAAAGGGUGUUCUUGUUGAUACUGGAAGUAAUACUUCAUCUAGCAUCCUGUAUGAAGUCACCAAUAAAUCUGACAUACAGAAAGAUUCAACAGUAACUCUAGCUUCAGAGGUAGUUGAGGCACUAAAAGGUUCAGAAGUUACUCUGAAAUCUAAAGGCACUGGGGAAGUAAAAGCUUUGGAUACAGCUCUUGAGUCUGAGUCCAUGGAGGUGUUGACAUAUUCAGAAGCAUUUCUACAGUCUGUGGCACAGGGGGGAGCAAAAGAAAUGGAAGCAACUUCGGAGUCUGUGUAUUCAGCAAGUAAUGUAACAACUAGUCCUAAAUUUGCAAGUCAGGCAGAUCUGAGUACUGUGAAUGUAGGUCACAUGUCUGUGGCCAUGGAAGAAGUGAGAAUUCAAGAAGCAACUGAAAAAUCUCUGCCUAUGGGAAAUGUGGAAAGAUCUUUGGAAUUAGGAGGUCUGAGCAGAACUUUGGAGCCAGCCGUGAAACUCUCAGUUACAUCUGAUGACUUGAGAGUGAUGCAGGCCAGUCCCAUUGAGGGUUCAAGUGUUUUGAAGGCAGAUGCGUCUUUGCAACAUCCUUAUAAAGUAUCUGCAGCGGCUGCUGUGACCCAGAUGGAAAUAAAAAGUGUCAAUAUGGACCAGGGCUCAGGAGCUGUUACAGAAGUGAAGGGUACUGAACCAGCUAGAAGCUCUGGACAUACGGAAAAUGUGAAAACUUUGGAAGGAGCUUUGCAGCCAGUUGCUGUAGGAAAGCCCGAAAGUUUGGAAACAAUCCUGAAACCUGUGGAUGUUGCAGCAAAAGAUGUCACAGCAGCUCAAGAACAUCUGCAAGCUGAAGUAAAAUAUGUGGAAGGUACCACUGGUCCUGCAACAGUGUUGUAUGCAUCAGGAGUGUUCCUACAGCCUAAUGUCUUGACAGACACAAGAAGUGUGGAUAGAACCCAGGAAUCUAUCCUUCCAGCAGAAUUGACACAUGUGAAUUUGGUUGCGGAGAUAGAGGGUUUAAGAUCAGCUUUAGAACCUAUUGGCCAGACCUUUGCUCCCCAGACAGUUCCAGAAAUCCAGAUGGUGGAGUGUUUUAAAGGUCCACAAGCAACUGCAGAAGUUGCAGCACUAACAGGAGUAAAAAUUCGAGAAACAAGUCAAGCUGCUCUGCAGCUGGAAAAUACAGAUGCUUCAAAAAUUUCAGAAUCUACUUUCAAGCCUGUUGCUGUAACAGCAAAAGAUUCAGAAGAUACUUCAUUACUGAGACGAGAGGAACCGAGAGAAUUAAGAUAUGAGGGUGAAUCAAGUGUGAGAGGUCCCCUGUCUUUGCAGAAUGAAGGUAUGAGUGGCCUAGGAGGAGUCCUAAGACCAGUGGCUGUGGUGGAAGCAGAAACUUUGAAAACAAUUUCACCAUCUUUGCAAAUGGAAGGUGUAAAGGCUUCCGAAGUUGUGCACUGUGGGACUGUGGCCAGAGGUUUAGCAGCAACAGUGGGUUCAACAGUGGUGUCAAAAGCUUCAGAGAUAAAUUUUGAGGGUAUGGCAGUAGAGGCAGGCUCAGAUGCCAGUCUGGCUAUGAAAGUAGAAGCAAGUCCAGGGCUUCCUGCCUUGGAAGAAACGUCGGAAAGGCCUCCUGAAUCUGUGGCUGCAUGUGUAAGCAUGGAAGCGGUUAGGGAGUCUAACGCAUUAGCAGGAAUGAUGCAUUUGAAAACCACAGCAGAUGGAGAACCAAAACAUACAGAAGCAGUUGCAGAACCUCUUGGUGCAAACAGAACAGAGAGUUACAUUUCACAGUCUCAGGUCAUGGCACAUACAAGAAUGCCACAACCUGAUACAGUAGGGGACAUAAAGGAUUCUGAACUAGCUACCAGUUCUGCCACCGUAGAAGUGAGGGAUUUAGACAACUUGAAAGUUGAGGCAGUUGCAGAGGUAAGAGAUGUGGAAGUGAGAUCAAAAACUUCACACUUAACACAGAUGAAAAAUUUGGAAAUGGUUGUGGGAUUUGAAACAAGGGCCCUAAUGGAAGGCAUGGGAAGAGCAUUGGCAUCUGAGGUGGUUAGGAAAAUGAGAUAUUCUGAAGUUGCUCCAGAAGAUUCAAACAAAGCAAAGGCAAGGAGUGAAGAAGCAGUAUUAGAACCCCAGCAAACUGUGAUGGUGCAGACUUUAGAAACAAGUUCAAAAUCUAUACAGGAACAAAUAGUAGGUCAUUCAGAAGCAGUAUUAGAGCAUUUGCCCAGAGUGGAAGAAAAGACUAUGGCAUCAGAAAUGGUGACAGAAGUAAGCAACUUGAGAGGAACUUUGGAAUCUAAGAUUUCAACAGAUGUGAGAACUCAGGGACCUACUGUAGAAUAUAUAAUUGCAACAAGGAAGACAAGCACACAAAAAAAUGAGCCCUCGCUUAGCGAUGUCAAAUAUUUGGAAGAAGCUUCAGAAAUGGAGAAAUCAGUGAAUGCAGAAUACUUGGAGCCAGCAUCAGAAGCUGGAGAACUGAGGUUGGAAAGUAUGAAAGAGUCUGCAACAGUAGAGGUGAAAGGUUCUGAAACAGUCGAAGUGCCUGAGGUACACAUGGAUAUCCAAGGAAAUCUGGGGGCGAUGAAUGUUUUAGAGCAUGUUUCAGAAGCUGUUCCAGAAUCUUUACAUAUUGAAAAGGAAGAAAAUCUGCAAACCAUUCCAGAAGCAAAAGCUGCUGUAGAAUGGAAGAGUACAGAAGAAGCUCCAGAAAUCCUGACUGCUGCUGAAGUGAAAUCUUCUGAAGCAGGUCUAAAACUAGGGGACAUGAAACAUUUGGAAGCAUCACUGGAACAUGAAGUGGCAGCAGAAGUACGAUAUGCAGAAGUGCAGUGUCAGCAGGUGGAGGAUGUGAGAGCUCCAGGUCAAGCUCAGGAAUGUGAGAUUCUAGUUGAGAAGAAAGAUACAGAGCAAAGUCAAACAUCUGAGCCUUUUACAGCAGAAACAGCUUUCAGCUCUUCACAUGCUGCAGAUGAAAAAGAGACUCCUGAAUCUGAAAUAAUCGGAGACGUGAAACAGUUGGAAGCAGCUCCAGCUGAUGUGGCAGAAACAAAAGGUUUGGAAACCGUUUCUCUUCCCGACACUGUUGUAGAGCUGAAAGAUGCAGAAGCAGCUGUGGGGUUGGAGGGAGAGACACAAGAUUUGGAAGCAGCUUCAGUACCUGAGACUGUUGAAGAAGCAGAGCCAGUACCUGUGGCAGAGGCAGGCCAGGUGGAAGUCAUUCCACAGGCUGAGGCUGUCAAAGAAGCAACUCCAGAACAGGAUUCAGAGAAAAGAGAUUCAGAAACAUCCGAUGUACAACCUGAUGUGGCGGCACGAAUGAAAGAGACUCUGAUGAGACUCGAGAAAGUUGUUGAAAAAAGUAGCCAUAGAAGCAGUGAUAAAAAACAUGAUGCAAAGAAACAAAAAAGGAGUCGCUCCAAAUCUCACUCCAGGUCUAGGAAGCGGAAGAAAAAAUCAAGGUCACGUUCCACUUCUAGACGUUUGACCUCUAAAAGAGCACGUUCUAGGAGCAGAAACUAUUCAGAUUCCAGAAAAAAGCAUUCCAAAUCUAGAUCCCGAUCUGUGGAGAAGAGAGAGAGAAGAGUGUCUUCCCGGAGGUCUAGGCGCAGACGUUCCAGGUCAUCUGACCACUACAGGUCUAAAUCGAGAUCAGCAGAGAAGAGAGGGAGCAGAUUGUCCAGACGCAGACGUUCCAGGUCAUCUGACCGCUACAGGUCUAAAUCCAGAUCAGUGGAAAAGAGACUGUCCUCCCGAAGGUCCAGACGCAGGCGUUCCAGGUCGUCUGACCGCUACAGGUCUAAGUCCAGGUCAGUGGAAAAGAGACUGUCUUCUCGAAGGUCUGGGCGGAGACGUUCCAGGUCUUCUGACCGCUACAGGUCUAAGUCCAGGUCAGUGGAAAAGAGACUGUCCUCCCGAAGAUCUGGGCGCAGACGUUCCAGGUCAUCUGACCGUUACAGGUCUAAGUCCAGGUCAGUGGAAAAGAGACUGUCCUCCCGAAGGUCUGGGCGCAGACGUUCCAGGUCGUCUGACCGUUACAGGUCUAAGUCCAGGUCAGUGGAAAAGAGACUGUCCUCCCGAAGGUCUGGGCGUAGACGUUCCAGGUCUUCUGACCGCUACAGGUCUAAGUCCAGGUCAGUGGAAAAGAGGGGGAGCAGGUUGUCCUCUUGGAGAUCCCGCCGCAGACGUUCCGGGUCUUCUGACCGUUCUAAAUCUAGAUCCAGAUCUUCAGAAAAGAGAGGAGGCAAAGAAUACUCAUGGAGAUUCAGACAUAGAGGAUCUGGUUCCUCUGAUCGUUCAAAAUCUAGGUCAAGAUCUGUUGAGAAGAGAGGUCGGAAGGCAUCUCUGCGGAGAUCUAAACGUCAGCGGUCAAAGUCCUCUGACCGUUACAAGUCUCGGUCCAGAUCAGUAGAAAAAAGAGAUCGAAAGCAGUCUUCACGGAAGUCUAAACGUCAGCGCUCAAAGUCUUCUGACCGUUACAAAUCUAGAUCUAAAUCAGUGGAAAAAAAGAAAGAGUCUUCACGGAAGUCUAAGCGUCGCCGCUCAAAAUCAUCUGAACGUUACAAGUCUCGGUCUAGGUCUGUCGAAAAAAAGCGCAAGGAAUCUUCAAAAAAAUCCAAACGGAAACGUUCCAAGUCAUCUGAUAGUGUUAAGUCAAGGUCAAAAUCUGUAGAAAAAAGAGGGAGUAAAUUAUCCUCAGUGAAGUGUAGCAGCAAAGGUGUGGAAUCUUCUGAAUGUCAGGAUUCAACCCAGUGUCUUGAAGAAGGAGAAAUAGUUGAACAGUCUUCUGCAAGUGAAGACAGUCCCCGCAAAUCCUCUAAUGGUCCCAUGUCAGUAGCUUUGUCUGAUGAAAGGGUAAAUGGCCCAGAGCUGCCUCCAGCAUUUGAUAGUGGGUUUUCCAAAACUUCUGACAGUCUUGAGAGCAGUUCCUCGUCUGUUAAAGAAAUAGCAGGUCUACAGCCUUCUGUGGUGUCCGAAUUUGAUAGCUCCAGAAUCUCAGAUGACCAGGAAAGAUCACAGGUUUCAGAGCUUUCUGUGACAUCUGGAAAUGGAUCAGCCGAAAAAGCAGUGGCUCUGGAGUCCUCACUACCUGAACUUACAUGCUCCACAUCCAAGUCAAGAUCCUCAUCUGUUGAAAAAAGAGAUCCAGAAACUUCUUCGUUAACAGAAUUUCAGCUCUCUGCAUCCCAUGAGGAUGAGUCGAGAUCUACUUCUGUCAAAGAAAUAGAGGGUCCAGAGUCUCUUCUGACACUUGAAAGUGGAUGCUCUGUGUCUUCAGAUGAUUACAAGACAACCUCCUUAGCCUCCAGAAGAACAGAGGUUCAGGAAUCUUUGAUGUCUGAAAGUGUACUCUCUGGCUUGCCUGAUGCUCAUGAAUUGAGACAUACCCCAGUUGAAAAAACAGAGACUCAGAACUUUUUACAAGUACCUGAAAGUGAAUCUUCUGAAGCAGCAGAGGCUCAAAAUUCUUUUCUAGCACCUGAAGUUCCAUGCUCUGCAUUCCCUGAUGACUGUGAGUCAGCCUCCUUGCCUGCUGAAAAGGGCCAGAUGCAGGAGCCUUCUUUGGCUUCUGACAGUGGAUGCUUCAGAUCUCCUGAUGCUCAUGAACCCGGAUCUAGCUUUAAUGCACAAACAGAGGAGCUUCUGUUGAUGUCUGAAAGUGGGUCCUUCAGGUCACCUGAUGGAAAUGAACAAAGGUCUUUUUCUGUUGAAAAAGUCAAGGCUCCAGAUGUUUCCUUGCAAGCGGAAUGCGGCCGUGUUGAGAUCUUGGAUGACCUCGUUUCAUCAUCGUCAUUUGGAAGAGUACAGGAAGCUGGACUGACAACUGUAGGGCAAAGCUGCAAGUCUUCUGGAGUUCAUGAGUCCAGAUCAUCUGUUGACAAAGAUGGUCUAACACUUCCACAAGUACUCGAAAUUGAGUGCUCUGAACCUUCUGAAAUGCAUGAAUCGAGAUACCUGCCUGCUGGAAAAAUAGAGGGUGCAGGAUCUGUAUUGAUGUCUAGAAGUGGAAUUCCUGUGUGCCAUGAUGGCCAUAAAACAAAACACAAUUACUUUGAGAAAACAGAAGGUGCAGAACUGUUGUUGGCAUCUGAACUUAGGUGUUCUGUCUUCCCUGAAAGCUAUGAAUUGACAUCCACUGCAGUUGAAAAAAUGGAGAUGCAGAGGCUGGAAAGUGGAUUCUCCAAGUCUGGUGAUGUUUGUGAAGCAUUAAGCACACCUAUGGAAAAACUACAGGCCCCAGUGACUUCGCUGACAUCUGAAGGUGGGCUUUUCCCGUUGCCAGAUAGUCAUGAACUGAGACCUGUCCCUGCUGAAGAAGUGGAGGUGCUAAAGUCAUCUGAACUGAAAUGUGUUGCAUCCCCAGAUGACCACAAGUUGAGAUCUGUCUAUCAUGAAGAAAUACAGGUGCAGGAGCCACCUCUGAUAGUGGAAGGUAGAUGUUCAGUUUUGUCUGAUGGUGAUGAGUUGACGUCCACCUCUUUUGAAAAAGUUGAGGUAGAGGAGCCUUCUCAGUUGUCUGCAAAUGAAUACACAAUUGGGCUUGAUGGCCCAGAGUUGACAUCAACCCCUGCUGAAAAAACAGAACUGCGGGAACUUUAUCGGAUGUCUAAAGAAAGAUGCUCUGUGUCUGCUGAGAGUGAGGAGUUGCGGACACCCCUAAUUGAAAAGAUAGAAGUGCAAAAGCCUGCUCUGACAUCUGAAAAUGAAUAUGCUGUGUCUUGGGAAGGCCAGAUGGCAUCUAGCUCUCCUGAAAAGGUAGAGAUACAGGAGGCUUCUGUAGUACCUGACAGUGAACAUGCUGUGUCUUCUGAAGAACACGAAUUGUCUUCCCUUGCUGAAAAAACAGAGAUACAGGAGUGUUCUUUGCUGUCUGAAAAUGAAUAUGUUGCAUCACCUCACAGCCAGGAGGUGGCAGCCAGCCCUGCUGAGAAAGAGGUGCAGGAGCCUUCUCUGACAUCUGACAGUGGAUAUACUGUCUUCCCUGAAGGCCAAGGAUUACAGUUUACCCUUGCUGAAAAAAUAGUGGUACAGGGACCUUCACUAAUAUUGGACAGUCAAUAUGUUGCAUCCUCCGAGGGUCAGGAGUUGCACUCUGCUGUCACUGAAAAAACAGAGGGACAGGAGUGUUCUUUGCUGUCUGAAAAUGAGUAUGAUGUAUCCCCUCAACGCUGUGAUUUAAGGUCCAGUCCUGUUGAAAAAGAAGAAAUGGAGGAGCCUUCUGAAACAUCUGAAAGUGAAAGUUCAAUGUCCACUGAUAGCCAAGAGCUGCAGUCUGCUGCUGUUGGAAAAACAGAGGUGCAGGAGUUGUCUUUGUCUGAAGGUGAAUGCGCCAUGUCCCCUGGAGGUCAGGAGAUGCGGUCCAGCCCUGCUGAAAAAGUAGAGGCAAAGGAACCUUCUCUGACAUCUGAAAAUGUUCUGUCCCCUCAAGAAUGUGAAUCAAGGUUGACUCGUGCUGAGAAAACAGAGGAUAUGAAUUCUUCUUUGACAUCUGAAAACGACAAUCUUUUGUCUUUUGAGGGCCAGGAUGUAAGAUUCACAGCUGUUCAGAAAACAGAUUUGCAGGAGCUUUCUUCAACUCCUGAAAAUGAACAUGCAGCAUCUCCUUAUGGCCAGGAGUUGAGAUUCUCUGCUAUUGGAAAAGAAGGUGGUUUCGAAGUUUCAACGCUAAAUGAUAGCAUCUCCAUGUCCCCUGAUGAUUUGAAAGCCAUCCCUGCCGAAAAAAUGGACGAUGCAAUGCCAUCUUUAAUUCCUGAAAGUGCAUCUUCCAUGUCCCCUGAUGGCUACAGUGUAAAAUCGGGUCCUGGUGAAGAAACAGGAGAUCUAGAGCCCUCUUUGAUACCUGAACGUAGACAUUCUACAUCCUCAUAUCAGGAGAGCCAUGAGCUGAAAUCUCCCAUGGAGGAAGAAGGUCUAGAGUCCUCUUUGACUCCUGAACAUAGACGAUCUGUGUCCCCUGAGGGCCAUGACCGAAAAUCUAUCGUAGAUGAAGAAAUGGAUGAUCGGGAGCCCUCUUUGACAUCUGAACAUAGGCGCUCCACAUCCCCCGAUGACCAUGAGUCAAGAUCUAGCAUUGGUGAAGAAGCAGAGUAUCUGGAGCAGCCUUUGACAACAGAACGUAGGUGCUCUGUGUCUUCUGAUGAGCAUGAGUCAAGGUCUACCGCUGGGGAAGAGGUAGAGGAUGUAGAACCCUCCCUUACAGCUGAACGAAGAGACUCCACAUCUUCUGAUGAGCGUGAGUCGAGGUCUACUGCUGGUGAAGAUGCAGAAGAUGGGGAGCCCUCUUUGACAGCUGAACGUAGGCACUCCACAUCCUCUGAUGACCGUGAAUCAAGGUCUACAACUGGUGAAGAAACAGAGGAUUUAGAACCUUCUUUGACAGCUGAACACAGACGCUCCGUGUCUCCUGAUGGCCGUGAAUCAAGGUCAACCACUGGUGAAGAAGCAGAGGACCGGGAGUGCUCUCCAACAGCUCAACGUAGACACUCCACAUCCUCAGAUGAAUCUGAGUCAAGGUCUACCGCUGGUGAAGAUGUGGAUGAUGUAGAGCCCUCCUUGACAGCUGAACGAAGAGAUUCCACAUCAUCAGAUGAUCAUGAGUCAAGGUCUACCACCGGUGAAGAAGCAGAGGAUGCGGAACCCUCUUUGACAACUGAGCACAGACGUUCCACAUCCCCUGAUGGACGUGAAUCGAGGUCUACCACAGGUGAAGAAGUGGAUGAUGUGGAGCCUUCUUUGGCAGCUGAACGAAGAGACUCCACGUCGUCAGAUGAGCAUGAGUCAAGGUCUACCACUGGGGAAGAGGGUGAGGAUGGAGAGCCCUCUUUGGCAGAUGAAGAUAAACAAGAUUCCAUGCCUCUUGAGAGGUCGGAGGAACAGGACUCUUCCUUUGUACCUGAAAGUAGGCGUUCUGAGUCUUCUGAACGUGAGAAAUCCAGAUCCAGAUCUGUUGAUAAAAUGUCUGACAAAGAGUCUUCACAGAGAUCCAUAAGCAGGCACUCAAAGUCUCCUGCUCACCAAAAGAGUCGAUCUGCAUCUGUUGAAAAAGUGGCAGACAGAGAAUCUUCACGGAGAUCUAGACGUAGGCGCUCCAGGUCUACUGCUCACCCGAAGAGUAGAUCCACAUCUGUUGAAAAAACAACAGACAAAGAAUCUUCACGGAGGUCUAGACGUAGGCGCUCCAGGUCCACUGCUCGCCAAAGGAGUCAGUCAACAUCGGUGGAAAAAGUGGCAGACAAAGAAUCUUCACGGAGAUCUAGACGCAGGCGCUCCAGGUCCACCGCUCGCCAAAGGAGUCGAUCCAAAUCUGGUGAAAAAACAGCAGACAAAGAAUCUUCACGGAGAUCUAGAAGCAGACGCUCCAGGUCUUCUCAGCGCAGAUCCCAGAGAUACGAUACAGAAUCUCGUUCUAGACGGAAUCGCUCCAGAUCAGUAACACGGAGAAGAGCAUCAAGAUCAAAAUCUAAUCGUCGGUCUCGGUCUAGUUCGUUGUCGCGUUCAAGGCAUAGAAGGAGGAGUAGGUCAAGGUCAGCAUCAAGGCGGCGGCGUUCUUUAUCAAGAGACAGGCGUAAGAGAUCACAGAGAAACAGAUCAAGAUCUACUGAUAGAAGAAGAAGAAGAUCAGAUUCAAGAGAUCGUAGAAUAUCACUCAGACUACGGAGCAGGAGUCGAACACCUAUUCGUCAAAGGCGAUCAAGGUCAAGAGGAAGAAGACGGAGCUCUAGUAGGUCACCAAUUCGGCUGCGGCGAUCAAGAUCUUCAGGGAGAAGAAGAUACAGCAGAUCACCUGACCGUCGUAGAUCAAGGUCAUCGGAAUUUUCAAACAGGUCACCUAAACGUCUUACAGACUUGGACAAGGCCCAGCUACUCGAAAUAGCCAAAGCUAAUGCAGCUGCCAUGUGUGCUAAGUCUGGUGUUCCCUUACCACCAAGCCUGAUGCCUUUGUUAUCUCAAAAGAAAGACGACAAAGCCAACCAGAAGUCAUCAAGAGAUACGCUAAAGGAGCUUACUGAGAAAUGCAAGAAGAUUGCCCAGAGCACAGAUGAUGUGAUAGUGAACAAACCUCAUGUUUCUGAUGAAGAGGAGGAAGAGCGUCCUUUCUAUAAUCAUCCUUUUAAGCUCAGUGAACCCAAACCUAUAUUUUUCAAUUUAAGUACUCCCAGCAUAAAACCAGCACCACCUCCACAACCAAAAAAUCAAGUCAGCCUGUCAAAGGAAUUCCCUGUUUCAUCUGGGUCUCAGCAUAGGAAAAAGGAAGCAGAUAGUGUCUAUGGAGAAUGGGUUCCAGUUGAAAAAGGCAAAGAAGACAGCAAGGAUGAUGUUUUCCCCAAACCAUCCAUUGAGGGCGUGGACAUAACUACAGCUAUGAAUGAUCGAGCAAUAGCUCAGAAAAGGCUUAAUGAAAACACAUUUGAUUUAGAGGCCAUGUGCAUGUUAAAUCGUGCACAGGAGCAGAUUGAUGCCUGGGCUCAAUCAAACUCCAUACCUGGCCAGUUCACAGGAAGUACUGGAGCACAGAUAUUGUCCUCGGAUGAGCUGACCAACAGUGGUCCCCAAGCAUGGAUUAGAAAGGAUCAGUUCUUAAGAGCAGCCCCUGUAACUGGAGGAAUGGGAGCUCAACUGAUGAGAAAAAUGGGCUGGAGAGAAGGAGAAGGGCUUGGGAAAAACAAAGAAGGCAGUGUUGAGCCAAUUAUGGUGGACUUUAAGACAGAUCGGAAAGGGCUUGUUGCUGUGGGAGAGAAGGCACAGAAGAGAUCUGGACAUUAUGUUGUGAUGAAGGAUCUUUCAGGUAAACAUCCCGUUUCUGCUUUGAUGGAGAUCUGUAACAAAAGAAGAUGGUCACCACCUGAAUUUGUGUUGGUGGAUGACAGUGGGCCUGAUCAUCGCAAACAUUUUAUCUUUAAGGUGAGAGUCAAUGGAAAUGAAUACAGGCCUACUUUUGCCAGCCUUAACAAGAAGCAUGCUAAAGCCACAGCAGCAACUGCGGCUCUCCAAGCGAUGGGACUUGUACCAAAGGAAAGCAUGGUUAAUACCACCAUGUUUAGGAGUGCCUCACACCGCUAGAUAUUGUUUUUUAUAUUGACAUUAUUUCAGAUAAUUUUACUCUGCACAAAAAUGGUAUUUGCCCUUUCAUGUUGUAAAUACAUUGGCAAUUCCCACGUUGUAAAAACUGUACAGACACCUUCAGGUUUUUCUUUUGUACCAUCAAAAUGUAUUUAAAUCAUACUUAGUUUUUGGUAUGUUUAUAUUGUUUACAUUAGUGAUGUAAUUAUUUCUUAAAUGACUAAAUCAGACGACAGACUCUGGAGGCAUCAGUAAUUGAAACCCUUGUUUUAAAGCUCGUGCGAUUCCUCUUCAAUACGGAAUGUUAACACUUUCAUACUGUUUUGUACGAUGCUGCAGUUUUCCCUGGUCUCGGUAAAGCUAUCCGUGCACUUUGCCGGCAGCUGGUGAAGGUCACCCGCUCACCCAUGGCUGGUCGAGGCUGGUGCAUGCUGCCGGAUAGGUACCGGGCAAUGCCGCGGCCCCGCGAGAAAGCACGUGGUGGUAGCCCUGUUGUACAGUGUUAGCACCGCGGCUGCUGUCUGUGUUCAGUCCAGGGUUGGACUUGGUGGUGUACUGCAGCUGGCCCCGCAGCCCAUGCUCCAGGAUGUACGUGAUUUAGGCAGAAGACAUGCACUCGGAGGGACGGCAGGAAGUCCAGCAGUGGAUCCCAUGAGACUCGCGAUGUGAAGGUGACUCUCCCUGCAUGUUCUAAGAAGGGAGAUGAUGGAGUUGUCUAUUCCAAACAAAUUAACACACUGCCUGAUGUUGAUUGUAUGAUUUUGUGGUUAAUGUGAAUUUUAAACUCUUAACAAAUCUACAACUGGAUUUGGGGGGGGGGGGGAAGGGAUAGAAUGACGCUUAAGUUGUUGUACCCAACUUGGUCAAUAAAAGCAGCACAAGUUCAUAAUCUUAAUCACUGGUCAGUAAGCAGUAAUUCAAGUGUCUGCCAAGUUGACUUGUGGAAGAAGGGCACAGUGUAAGAGUAUCCUGAAGAUCACCAAUAACUGUUAGAGCUGCAGGGUCACUUCUGGUUGCUUUGGAGUAUUACCAAAUUAAUUCCGUGGGCUUCCACUUUCCAUAAUGGUACUCUGCCCUCAAGGAGAAAGCCUGAUCCAGAGUUCAGGCAGUUUGACAAGGGAGAGGAUGUACAAAGCUUUUCCUUCUUUUACAUUUCUCACCCCCCCCCCCCCCCCCUUUCUUUUUUCCCCCUUUUAAUUUAAGAAGUGUUAGUACUUGAUCUGUGAUCACUUUGGAUUGGAAAGGGCAUUGCACACCUCUGUCUGGAUUUGUCUGAGUUAUGAUCAGGUUGCCAGGAUUUAUGGACUUCUGCAGCUCAGGUGCUUAUUUCAGAAAAGUCUUUUUGAGGUUUCUUUGUAUUACACCCCCUGAGCAGAGCCUCGUCUGGGAUAGGAACAAAACACAGUUUGUACACAGCAAGGCUGCGCUCAGGCCUAAAGCGUGUGAGUUUCUCCAUGGUAAUAGGAACACAGAGGUGAAGAAUUACUAGUACCUCUUCCACAAAGUAAGAUGACCUGUGUGUAUUCUGCCAACUGUUAAAGAACAAGGUGUCUUUCUGUGCCCUGAAGGGACAAGGGUCAUGUCUUAUGUACAGCAGAGAAAUGGUGUUUGGUUGUUGACUGCCCACUUCCAAAAAAUAAAGACCCUUACUCGUCUGUCAAAGCGCUCUAGGCCUAAGUUAAUUUUCAUGAACAUAAUUGUCUGUAAUUAAAACUUUUUUCCCUUUGGCUUCUCGCCUUCAGUCUCUGACUAAAUCUUUGGAGAUUUCCUCGCCGCAUUUGCUGCACUCCUUGGAAGGUGUGUAUAAAAAUAAUAGAAUAUGAUGGUACAGCAGUGGAAGGAUCCACCCUAGGAGAAGUGGGUGUUGUAUGGGUCUUAGCUCAAGUCGGGCUUGUUGAUGUAUGACUUAAGAGUAAUUAAUGGGGGAUGUGGGAGCAGCUCUUAAUCAGACUUUUGUGUAAAUGUCUGGUUUGAUAGAGCUGAAGCAGUUGAGAUGUUGAUUGUUCUGUUCACUCUGUCCAUGGUGUUCAUGUCAGCGCUGGUGUCACAGCUGUGCAGCAUCACAUCUGGGAACAUAACAAUCUCUUGUACCUGUUGCUUUGCCUUUUUUAGGUCUGUAUUCCCCAUGUAUAAUGUAAAGACAUGUUACUGCACAGCAGCAAGGAGCAGAUGAAUUUGGUCCCACUGAAGACUCCAUUUAAAAAAUAUUUAGGAAAGUUCUGGAUUUCACGCCUUAAAGAUGUGGUGCUGUACAUGGAUUUAACCUUUGGUCUUAAGGAAGACUUGUGAAAAAAGAUAACUAAGAAAUCGGAUGGAAGAUUUUCUCAAUGUUGGACGCUGACUCAGUUGAUCCAAAGUCUUGGGAUGCAGUCCACAUGUAGGAAGAUCUUUGUGUACCGUUUCCUGUGGGAAUUUACAUGAAGAGGAGGGACACGGCAUAGGUAUUUCUGUUUGAAGUACCUGCAGUUCUAAAUGUUCAUUUGUGUACCUCUGGGGAGCUCCAGAAAAGCUGAUUUCCUGGAUGAUUCCAUUUCUAAGGGAGGGACAAACCCUGCGGACUGCCAGGUGGUGAUCACAGGUAGUUGGGUGUAAACCCAUGUGUUAAGGGGAAGUUUUAUGUCAUUCUGUGUCCUACAGUUUGCAAUAAAGAUACUAUUCCUAACAGAAAA